rnacentral:lncRNA from 1 species
CAGCCGUCUCACCACCUUCCCUUAGAGAUCUGUUCCUCCCCCUAAAGGCCCUGGGGUUGAUUCCAGUGGGGCUGCCAACCACAGAUUCCUGAGCCCUGGCCACAAGAGGAUGAUGCAACCUAAGCCUGAGCCGUCAUAGAGCCCCACCCCCAGCCUGGAGCCUGAAUGAGGGGACUGAUCAAAGCUGGGCCAAUCAGCUGGGACUUCUACACAGGAAAGCAGGGGAGGGGAGAGAAGCCUUCUCAUUGCCUGGGCACAGCUGAGCUGAAUAAUAUAAGCCAGGAGCUUCUGGUGGCCAUGCCUCCUGUGCCUGUCCUCGCAAGGAUGAAGUCAUCCCCAGUAAGAGAAAAUGAGGCCUGAGCACAGAGAAAAGUCAAGACGAAUGACGGAGGCAAAGGGAUGGGAGUAGGAAGGUAACAGGAUGUGCGAUGGGACUGUUCCUGUUGUCCGGGAAUUCCAGCUAAAGCCCAGAGGCGAGGACAAAGAGGCUCUAAGCCAAGAAGCACACCACCUGCUGAAGCGAGCUGCCCACCAUGGCACACGCUGCCUACCCGGGCUCACCAAAAGAGGGGGAGUCAGUCACUGUGAGCCCAAAACACAGUAACAGCGGGCCUAGAAAGGACGGCAGCUGUGGCCAGGUGGGUAAAGAUGCUCUCGUCCAGUUUCCUCUCCUUCUGCCCAGCCCAAACACACCAGUGAGCUUUGAAGCCAGAUACCCGAGGGUUACCAUAGAAAUGUGGAUGAAGACAGUGGGGACUGAAGUCAGGUUUCUGAGGGUUACUGUAGAUAUUCAAUAUGAACAUGAUUGCCUUUCACAAUUUGCUAUUUUCUUGUUUGAGCUGAGGGGUGACUCAGGGGUCAUGAGGACCUGUGAGCCUGUUUUGCUGAAGAGAGAACGCCUUCAGGGAUGUUGUGAUGACAGGACGAUCAGCCCCCCAGUGGCUGUUGACGCCCAGAAGUCAGAUUGCCCAGGAGCUUCUCUACAGUGAAAGAAAUACGGACUUACCCUUCGUUUCUCCAAAACUCCUCCUGCCAAGCCCCUUGGCUCUGUAAAACGCCCUGCUUUCUUCUCUGGUUAAGGCAGAUUUAAGAGAACCUCUCCUCCCGCCUUCUUGUUUCGGUGAAUUCAAAUAAACCUUUCUCCGUCUCCACGCAGGGAUGGCUCAGCGACUGACCUACUGCGCGUGGGUGUGUGAACUGGAGACUAAGAGGUUCCCUAUGGAGCGGGGCCUUGAAGAAGGGAGGGAGGGAUAGCUCAGAACCUGAUCACGCUCCUUCCCCAGCUUCAUUGCUAGCAGUCAGGAUUCCAGUUCAAGACCGCUCCAUCAUCCUCCUUUUUUUGAGGAAUUGCUCCUAUCCCACCCAUAAAAAUAGCUAAGAAUGCAGAAUUUGUGGAGAGGAUCAAAGAUAUUAAGAUGUCACAUUUACUGUUGCUGCCAUGACCGAAGCCGAAAAGCAGCACAGAACCGUGCGGAGGGUGGGCCCUGACUUGGACCUGCCUCUAAGGAGGGACCUUCUCCCAAUGCCCGGAAGCUUUCUGGGCUGGCUUGCAAGCCCAGCUCAGAAAUGCAGAGGAGUUAAUACCCUAUAGGCAACCCUCAACCAACACAGAACGGUGGCUGAUGGACAAAUGCUCCAGCCUCCAGUCCAACAGGUGGAGACUUUCGGGAGAUAUUCUGCACGCUUCUCAGAGGUCCUGGUGGAAUUGAACUCCCACCGCUGACAGUAGUGACCUCAACAAUGCAUCCAUAGAUGAACUCUCCCCUUCUCUGUCUCACUCCCCCUGUCCCUUCACUCCUGCUUCCUGGGAUCACCUGUACCAAGUCUUGUCUCAGGCUCUGCUUUGGGGGACACUACAGUCUGGGAAAUGUUUGAUGUGGACAGAAGCAGGACUAAUGGUGGAACUUCUAAGUUAGCCUCCCUCCUGCAUGUGGGAUGCCUUGAAGAAAGCUGCAGCGUAGAUGAAAAGGAAACGCUAUACCAUCUAACAGCUGGGACACCGGAGACCAGGCGGUUCUGCUGCAGGCCCCAUAACCACCGAGGACACUAUGAGAAGCAGCGCCCUUCCUCGAGCUCUGAGAAAGCACCCCUGCUUGGACCGACUGAGACCUGUGUCAGCGAAAGCUGGGGCGGUGUGGGUGACAGGACUACCAGAACAGGGUGAUCCUGUCAGAGCCCCUCUCUUCAGGACUGCCAUGCCUUCAGCACAGCUCUCAGCAGCACCAGCUCUCCACUAACAGCCAAUGGAGCGCCGACCAACACCUGGCAAGUGAAUCUGGCUGCAGGGACAUCCCUAAGGUCCCCUCCCCCAGCAGGUGUCCACAGAGCAACACUGAGUAGGACUGAUUCCUGGGCAAAUGUAAGCAACCCUGGAAUAUUUGAAGGUAGAAUUAUUGAAAAAUAUUUGACGAAGAAAAGGAUUGAACUUUGUGCUAAUUUCACACCUAGCAGAUCAGAGCUGUAAUUGAGGCUUAAAAAGAAACACGAACGCACUUUAUCAUCACAAGUUGGUAAAGUCAGGAAUGUACUUUACAACCACUUUAUCAACAUUUAGUCAAACAUUUCCCAAAACUCAUUCAUUUGCCUAGUAUCUAACAAUUUACUAUCUGUACUAUUCGUUACUUAAUAUUUUUCUUUAAACCAAAACACUUUUUCAAACUUAAAUAUCCA